AAGGAAGGAAGGAAGGAAAGAAAGAAAGAAAGACAAACCCUCACAUACUGGACAAAAGGGAAAAGUAGGCAUUUUAGGCAGGUGGCACUUAGGUCACACAGCUUAGGAGACAAAUGUUAAUGGGUUGUUUGAAAUUGGUUCAGGAUGCAGGACAAUUCUUUGUUGUGGGUGACUGCCUCACACACUGCAGGUCACCUGAGUCCCUGGCCUCACAUAAAUAUUAACAGUGUCCCCCAACCAUUAUGACAACCACAUAUGCCCUUCACAUGUCCACAAAGCUUCCUGUGGGUGGUGUCCCCUGGGUGUGGAGUACCACUCACCCCCAUCCCUGCUGAGACCCACCAGCUUAGAAGAAGCCUGCAGGAGCUGGAGGAUGAGACUGCAGUCCCGGAGCAGGAUUCCAGGUGUGGAAUCUAUCAGUAAAGUCUAAUCUGAGCAGUUUGGACUUGAAGGAGCUUGUUUAUCCCAGAACCUAAGACUCAGAGAAACAGCCUGGGAUUGAACACUGAAAUUCCUCCCGCAACAUGCCAGUGUGGAGCUGUGGAACCCUAUGAGGUCGGUGGCCACCGGCACCUCUCUCCCUGCCAGGGGAGUGGCACCUGCCUAGUGGCCUGAUGGGCCCCGUGGUAGUCUCUGCUGAUUCUCAGGUUGGGGUGUGACAGGCAGUCCCUGAGCCAUGUGUUAUCCUUGAAGAGCAACUACUCCCAGGGGCAAUGAAUCUUAGAGGUUAAGAGUUAAACGUAGCGGCCGGGCACGGUGGCUCACACCCGUAAUCCCAGCACUUUGGGAGGCCGAGGCAGGUGGAUUACCUGAAGUCAGGAGUUCAAGAUCAGCCUGGCCAACAUGAUGAAAUCCCGCCUUUACUAAAAAUACAAACAAUUAGCUGGGUGUGAUGGUGGGCAUCUGUAAUCCCAGCUACUCGGGAGGCUGAGUCAGGAGAAUCGCUGGAGCCCAGAAGGCAGAGCUUGCAAUGAGCCAAGAUCAUGCCACUGCACUCCAGCCUGGAUAA
rnacentral:lncRNA from 10 species